GACGGAGGAUGCAAGCGUUAUCCGGAAUGAUUGGGCGUAAAGCGUCCGCAGGUGGCAGUUCAAGUCUGCUGUCAAAGACCGGGGCUUAACUUCGGAAAGGCAGUGGAAACUGAACAGCUAGAGUAUGGUAGGGGCAGAGGGAAUUCCUGGUGUAGCGGUGAAAUGCGUAGAGAUCAGGAAGAACAUCGGUGGCGAAGGCGCUCUGCUGGACCAUAACUGACACUCAGGGACGAAAGCUAGGGGGGCGAAUGGG
rnacentral:rRNA from 1 species